ACAGCUACUUGCGGACAAAGGGCUGGCUGCUCAGCUGCUUGAGAUUGCAGCAAUAGCAGGAACUGAGAGAUGCAUUUGCAGAGGGAUUUCCUCAAGCAGUCCCUGGCAGCCACGAGGUGAGAGGAGAAGACAGGUCAAAAUCCACGCUCAGAGAGAUUACAAAUGACAGCAAAGGGGUACAACCCUGAUAGCACUGUCAGGAGACAAAGAUGCCCAGGGUGAGAGGAAACAAGGAGAGGUAACGAGGCAGAGCUGCGGCAGCGGGACCGGUGCCAGCAAGGACAGGGAAGAACCGCAAAAAAUGCAGGAAUGAGCAGGAAAGACUGGCCCACUUCCUCUGGAAGCUAGGGGAGCAGAAGGUGGCUUGGCGCUCCAGGCGGGGAGUGUGGACUGCCGAAUGCCAGCUGUGGGCCCACAGACACUGGGAGGCCAUGACAGAGAGAGCUACAACGACUGGAAGACAGAGUGCAGGAGCACCCCCGCACCCCAGCGCGCUGUUCUCAUGAAGUCAGGUCAAACAUUCCCACACACCGGAAAGGAAUCUUCACAAUAAUCUUGGAGUAGCACCCACACUCCUGUGGCCAGGCACCCUCUGGCGCUCCCUCUGAUAAGGAGCCUGAAGCUCGUAAAACUCCGAGUAAGGAGAGAGCAGCCACACCUUUGCCGCAUAGCUAAGAUACUGACCCAGCCCUCCAGCUGCCGGACUCCAGUCUCAAACGAAUUCCAGGAGACUAUAGAGACCGGAUUCCAACAUGAGGCCAACAUGGGACGAGGGAAACAGCCAGAAACCCACACAUUCAAGAAAACUUCUACUAGACAAUCUGAAAAUGAUCCUCAAAAAACUGUUACUUCCCAUUUAUAUGAGCACAUAUCCAGCUCCUCUUAGAUUCCAGUAGACUUUUUAAAGUUAUUUAUUUUAUUCUUUAUAUACAUUGGUGGGUCUUGCCUGCAUGUGUGUCUGUGCGAAGGUGUCAAAACUCCUGGAGUUGCAAUUACAGACAAUCGUGAGCUUCCAUGUGGGUUCUGGGAAUUGAGCCAGGGCCAUCUCUCUACUUCCUCCACAUGAAAGUCCCCGGCAGAGGUAACUUUGCUACUUAGAAUCCUACACUAGAGCCCAGAGCACUUUUGAAGAGUGCAGUCUAACUGUUGGUUCACAAAUGAGAAGACCAAGACUAAGACUACGUUAAGAACUUGCCUGGGUAGCUAAGAAGUGGCAGAUAGAAGCCUUGCCGUCUCAGCUCAUCCCUCUGCUCCUGCAGCAGACAGCCACUCACUCUAACGCACCCUUACUGGAUGGGAGCCGCAUGCAGUGUGCCCAAGGGUGACAAGGGUGAGUGUGGCAUCCUCUGGGAGAGGAUUAAAAAAAAUGGUGGAUUUUAAAUAGUACUCUCACCAUCUUAGUUUGAAAAUCAUUACACAGUCUUACAUGAAAUUUUAGUGGUAUAUCUGAAACGAAAUCUCCUCCAUGGCCUUAAUUUUUAAUUGAACUCUUCCAUUGCCCCUGUAGCUCUUCCAACUAAAGAGGGUAGAUUAUCACAGUUAGCCCAUCAAUGAAGAUGCCCUUGGUGACUGCAGCGGAGAUGAUCCACACGCUGCCAGUUCCAGCACGCCAGACAGUCUUCGAAGAGCUUUAUACACAUUAAUUUAUGUAAUCCACUCAAGCCGCCUGAAAGGAAGCUGCCAGCACUGUGCAGACCUGUGCAGAGAGGAGCAGUCGCUCAGCUGCAGGUGCACCAGCAUCGGCCCCCGGGCACGCCUGCAUCACCGCUGCCCUCCUAUGCUUUCCUUAACGAGCUGAAAAUUACUCCGGCCCUCUGCCACUCCUCUGGGUCGAGCAUUCUAUGACUUUCUGAUUAACAAUGUUAAAAAAGAAAAAAAGAAAAAAAACAAA